rnacentral:rRNA from 1 species
UGGAGAGUUUGAUCCUGGCUCAGGACGAACGCUGGCGGCGUGCUUAACACAUGCAAGUCGAACGAUGAUGCCCAGCUUGCUGGGYGGAUUAGUGGCGAACGGGUGAGUAACACGUGAGUAACCUGCCCUUGACUUCGGGAUAACUCCGGGAAACCGGGGCUAAUACCGGAUAUGAGCCGCCUUCGCAUGGGGGUGGUUGGAAAGUUUUUCGGUCAGGGAUGGGCUCGCGGCCUAUCAGCUUGUUGGUGGGGUGAUGGCCUACCAAGGCGACGACGGGUAGCCGGCCUGAGAGGGCGACCGGCCACACUGGGACUGAGACACGGCCCAGACUCCUACGGGAGGCAGCAGUGGGGAAUAUUGCACAAUGGGCGAAAGCCUGAUGCAGCGACGCCGCGUGAGGGAUGAAGGCCUUCGGGUUGUAAACCUCUUUCAGCAGGGAAGAAGCGCAAGUGACGGUACCUGCAGAAGAAGCGCCGGCUAACUACGUGCCAGCAGCCGCGGUA